AACGAACGCUGGCGGCAGGCUUAACACAUGCAAGUCGAACGCAUCCUUCGGGGUGAGUGGCAGACGGGUGAGUAACGCGUGGGAACGUGCCCUUCAGUUCGGAAUAACCCAGGGAAACUUGGGCUAAUACCGGAUACGUGCGAGAGAAGAAAGAUUUAUCGCUGAAGGAUCGGCCCGCGUCUGAUUAGCUAGUUGGUGAGGUAAUGGCUCACCGAGGCGACGAUCAGUAGCUGGUCUGAGAGGGUGAUCAGCCACAUUGGGACUGAGACACGGCCCAAACUCCUACGGGAGGCAGCAGUGGGGAAUAUUGGACAAUGGGCGCAAGCCUGAUCCAGCCAUGCCGCGUGAGUGAUGAAGGCCUUAGGGUUGUAAAGCUCUUUCAGUGGGGACGAUAAUGACGGUACCCGCAGAAGAAGCCCCGGCUAACUUCGUGCCAGCCGCCGCAGUAAAAC
rnacentral:rRNA from 1 species